UACGGAGGGGGCUAGCGUUGUUCGGAAUUACUGGGCGUAAAGCGCGCGUAGGCGGCUUUGUAAGUUAGAGGUGAAAGCCCAGGGCUCAACCCUGGAAUUGCCUUUAAGACUGCAUCGCUUGAACAUCGGAGAGGUAAGUGGAAUUCCGAGUGUAGAGGUGAAAUUCGUAGAUAUUCGGAAGAACACCAGUGGCGAAGGCGACUUACUGGACGAUUGUUGACGCUGAGGUGCGAAAGCGUGGGGAGCGAACAGG
rnacentral:rRNA from 1 species